rnacentral:rRNA from 1 species
ACGUGAGACGCAUCAACUUGGAUUUUGUAAGUAGUUGCGAAUGAACACAAAUUUGAUCACUUUGGCAAUCUGUACACAUUGCUGUGUAACAAUUUGUAUACGUUGGCACAGUGCUAUCAAAGCUGCAUGCAAGUGUUUUUUGAAAGGAUACAACAUGGGAUGUGAUAUUCAUGUGUGUGUGCCUGCUUUGUCCACAGCCUGUGCUGUAUGAAUCACAUUUCUUGCAACUGAAAUGCUAAUGGCAUGGUAAAGUUCAUGUGACAUGACACAAGCUUGAGAUUCAUGAUGUGCAAGUACCAUGAGGGAAAUGUGAAAAGGACUUUGGAAAGAGAAUUAAAUAAAGCCUGCAUUUGCUGACAAUGAAAGCAAGUGUGGAUGUUCAUGUAAUUGUUACUGCAUCAAUCAAUGUUCAUCUUGGUUACUGCAUGCUUUAUAUUACAGCUCAGAACAUGAAGUGUGUGUAACAGCUCUGCUUUGAUUUUUCCCACAUGGGAUCAGUUGAAACAUUGUGAGAGCACUCUUCAGUUUCCUUAUGUACCCACCAGCUUUGUCCACUCGCGUGUUGGCACACAUGUAAUGAUGAUGUGUUUAUGCAAGAUACUUCUGUGCUCAACAACAUGUGGUCAUCUAUGGA